AUGGGAGACGAUAACCGUCAUGCCGGAUACAGUAAAAGUAAAUCCAGUCGGGCCGAACACAGCGGACAAGACUCAUUUGAGCUGCGUCACGAUAUAGCCCAGUACAGAGGUGCCGCACACCCCCUAUGCUUCACAGACGAAGUGAUGGAUCACCAAAUCCCAGAGGGUUUCAAACCCGUAAAUAUCGAAUCAUACGACGGUACAACAGAUGACUUCCUCCUGCACAUUCACAUGGCCCGCGGUGACGAUCUACACGCCAACAAAUACCUCCCACUCAAACUCAAAGGACCAGCUCGGCAUUGGCUCAACAGCCUGCCAGCAGAAUCCAUUGGCUGUUGGGAAGAUCUGGAAGCCGCAUUCCUCGACAACUUCCAGGGCACUUAUGUGCGAUCACCAGAUGCCGAUGACUUGAGCCACAUACUUCAGCAGCCAGAGGAAUCGGCCAGGCAAUUCUGGACACGGUUCCUGACAAAGAAAAAUCAAAUCGUCGACUGUCCGGAUGCAGAGGCCCUAGCAGCUUUUAAGCACAACAUCCGCGAUGAGUGGCUCGCCUGA
rnacentral:rRNA from 1 species